CCAAUAGCGUAUAUUAAAGUUGUUGCAGUUAAAAAGCUCGUAGUUGAAUUUCGAGAUCAAUAUGUUGGUCGUGCCUCGGUAUGUACUUGCAUCAUUGAUUUCUCCCUUCUGAUGAACCAUGAUGCCAUUAAUUUGGUGUUGUGGGGAAUCAGGACUGUUACUUUGAAAAAAUUAGAGUGUUUAAAGCAGGCUCACGCUUGAAUACAUUAGCAUGGAAUAAUGAAAUAGGACGUUUGAUUCUAUUUUGUUGGUUUCUAGGAUCGACGUAAUGAUUAAUAGGGAUAGUUGGGGGCAUUAGUAUUCAAUUGUCAGAGGUGAAAUUCUUGGAUUUAUUGAAGACUAACUACUGCGAAAGCAUUUGCCAAGGAUGUUUUCAUUAAUCAAGAACGAAAGUUAGGGGAUCGAAGACGAUCAGAUACCGUCGUAGUCUUAACCAUAAACUAUGCCGACUAGGGAUCGGAUGAUGUUAAUUUUUUAAUGACUCAUUCGGCGCCUUACG
rnacentral:rRNA from 1 species